GGGCGAAUAGCUCAGCGGUUAGAGCGCCUGUCUUACACACAGGAGGUCGCAGGUUCGAUUCCUGCUUCGCCCACCA
rnacentral:tRNA from 1 species